UUGACCUCAAAUCAGGUAGGACUACCCGCUGAACUUAAGCAUAUCAAUAAGCGGAGGAAAAGAAACUAACAAGGAUUCCCCUAGUAACUGCGAGUGAAGCGGGAAAAGCUCAAAUUUAAAAUCUGGCGGUCCCUGUGGCCGUCCGAGUUGUAAUUUAGAGAAGCGUUAUCCGUGCUGGACCGUGUACAAGUCUCCUGGAAUGGAGCGUCAUAGAGGGUGAGAAUCCCGUCUUUGACACGGACUGCCAGUGCUUUGUGAUGCGCUCUCAAAGAGUCGAGUUGUUUGGGAAUGCAGCUCAAAAUGGGUGGUAAAUUCCAUCUAAAGCUAAAUAUUGAGGAGAGACCGAUAGCGAACAAGUACCGUGAGGGAAAGAUGAAAAGAACUUUGGAAAGAGAGUUAAACAGUACGUGAAAUUGCUGAAAGGGAAACGCUUGAAGUCAGUCGCGUCGUUCAGGACUCAGCCUUGCUUUGCUUGGUGUACUUCCUGUUCGAUGGGUCAGCAUCAAUUUUGGUCGGUGGAUAAAGGCUUAGAGAAUGUGGCAUCUUCGGGUGUGUUAUAGCUCUGGGUCGCAUACAUCGGCUGGGAUUGAGGAACUCAGCACGCCGCAAGGCCGGGUACUUGUACCACGUACGUGCUUAGGAUGCUGGCAUAAUGGCUUUAAUCGACCCGUC
rnacentral:rRNA from 1 species